UACGUAGGUGACAAGCGUUGUCCGGAUUUACUGGGCGUAAAGAGCGCGCAGGCGGUCGUUCAAGUCGAGUGUGAAAGCCCCCGGCUCAACUGGGGAGGGUCAUUCGAUACUGAUCGACUCGAAGGCAGGAGAGGGAAGUGGAAUUCCCGGUGUAGUGGUGAAAUGCGUAGAUUUCGGGAGGAACACCAGUGGCGAAGGCGGGUCUCUGGACAGUUCCUGACGCUGAGGCGCGAAGGCCAGGGGAGCAAACGGG
rnacentral:rRNA from 1 species